rnacentral:misc_RNA from 1 species
UUUCCGUAGGUGAACCUGCGGAAGGAUCAUUAUUGAAUGAAACACUUCUGGCUUUAUGCUGUUGUGCUGGCCCUUUGGGCAAUGUGCACACGGCUCUGGUCACUUGUUUCUUCUGUUCCACCUGUGCACUGCCUGUAGACACGCUGUGUCUAUGAUAUUUGUUAACACACAACAAUGUUAGUUGGCAUGUUAUAUAUAAUAAUAAAAUAUACAACUUUCAACAACGGAUCUCUUGGUUCCG